AUUGAACGCUGGCGGCAUGCCUUACACAUGCAAGUCGAACGGCAGCACGGGUGCUUGCACCUGGUGGCGAGUGGCGAACGGGUGAGUAAUACAUCGGAACGUACCUUAUCGUGGGGGAUAACGCAGCGAAAGCUGUGCUAAUACCGCAUACGCCCUGAGGGGGAAAGCGGGGGAUCGAAAGACCUCGCGCGAUUAGAGCGGCCGAUGCCUGAUUAGCUUGUUGGUGGGGUAAAAGCCCACCAAGGCGACGAUCAGUAGCUGGUCUGCGAGGACGAUCAGCCAGACUGGGACUGAGAAACGGCCCAGACUCCUACGGGAGGCAGCAGUGGGGAAUUUUGGACAAUGGGGGCAACCCUGAUCCAGCAAUGCCGCGUGAGUGAAGAAGGCCUUCGGGUUGUAAAGCUCUUUUGUCAGGGAAGAAACACCGGCUCUAACACAGUCCGGGAAUGACGGUACCUGAAGAAUAAGCACCGGCUAACUACGUGCCAGCCGCCGCAGUAA
rnacentral:rRNA from 1 species